rnacentral:tRNA from 4 species
CGGGGUGUGGCUCAGUUUGGUUAGAGCACCGGUUUUGGGAACCGGGGGUCGGAGGUUCGAAUCCUCUCACCCCGACCA